rnacentral:snRNA from 1 species
GGAUGUGAGGGCGAUCUGGCUGCGACAUCUGUCACCCCAUUGAUCGCCAGGGUUGAUUCGGCUGAUCUGGCUGGCUAGGCGGGUGUCCCCCUCCUCCCUCACCGAUCCAUGUGCGUCCCUCCCGAAGCUGCGCGCUCGCGCCCCCCCCCCCCAGGAGAGGACCGGUCUUCGGUCAAGGGUAUACGAGUAGCUGCGCUCCCCUGCUAGAACCUCCAAACAAGCUCUCAAAAGAAUUAAAAAUGCAAUAUUGAAAUUUACAAGAGGGAAAAAAAUAACAAUAAACAAUUUUUGUGAAUACUUUUCAAU